UUAAAUGGAAAACUAACUGUUCCUAAUUUCUCCCCCCCUCUGACAUCACAACAAAAUGGCAGCUUCCACAGGAAGUGAGGUGGCGGUUGUUUUAAAAACCAGUUGGACCUAGAUUAAGGGUUUGAUUGUACAGAGUGUGAACCUGGAAAUUCAACUGAACAAGAGCUGCCAGCGCUAAUUAUGACAGGAGCCGUCUUCUCGAACCAUUCCUCUUCGUCUAUAACGAGAUGUUAAAGCUGAUUUCCCGUUCCGCAGAUUUAUAAACAGCGUCAUGAAAAUCACAAGUGAUUGGAAACCAGAGCCCGUGGUGCUUCUAUUUGAGGGAUCAAUCCCUGAGAUUGAUAGUAUGGAGGACACAUUAAUCAAACGCACUGUAGGACCUCUGCACAAUGAUAAAUAAAGCCCACACCUGGCUAUCAAUCUGCUCCCCAGAGCUCUAAACGCUGGUAGGUGGACGUGGGCCAACAAAUACAACAUUUACAUGGAAAUCCAUUUACUAAGACAAAAAAGAGGCAAUUUACACUUGGUCACUUGCAUUCUGAUCACAUUGUUAACUGUAUCAAAUGUUUUUUUUUGUUGUUGUUUUUUUUAUACUUUUAUUCAGUAAUAAAACAUUAAAGUGAUAGUUCAUCCAGAAAUGAAAAUAGAAAUAUUUUGUACCAUUAUAUAUGUCUUUACUGUCACGUUUGAUCAAUUUAAAGGGAUAGUUCACCCACAAAUAAAAAAAAUGUAAUUAUUUACUCACUAUCAAGUUGUUCCAAACCUGUAUGAGAGUAGCCAUUGAUUUCCAUAGUAUGGAAAGAAAAGAAAAAAUACAAUGGAAGUCAGUGGCUACCGUCAACUGUUUGGUUACCAACAUUCUUCAAAAUAUCUUCUUUUGUGGUCAACAGAAAAAAAGAAACUCAUAUAGGUUUGGAACAACUUAAGGGUGAGUAAAUGAUGACAGAGUGUUCAUUUUUGGGUGAACCCUAUAUACUAUAUAGUAUAUACAUAUAUAAUGUUACAAAAUAUUUCUAUUACAAAUAAAUGCUGUUCUUUAAAAAGAAAAAAGAAAAAGAAAAAGUAUCAUGGUUUCCACAAAAAUACGAAGCACCACAACUGUUUUCAGCAUUAAUAAUAAUGAUAAGUAAUGUUUC